rnacentral:rRNA from 1 species
AGAGUUUGAUCCUGGCUCAGGACGAACGCUGGCGGCGUGCUUAACACAUGCAAGUUGAACGGUUCAGCCCAAGCAGCAAUGUGAGGGUUGGAUAGUAGCGGACGGGUGAGUAACGCGUGAGCAACCUGCCUUUCAGAGGGGGAUAACGUCUGGAAACGGACGCUAAUACCGCAUGACAUUUUGUUGCCGCAUGGUGAUAAAAUCAAAGGAGCAAUCCGCUGAGAGAUGGACUCGCGUCCGAUUAGCCGGUUGGCGGGGUAACGGCCCACCAAAGCAACGAUCGGUAGCCGGGCUGAGAGGCUGAACGGCCACAUUGGGACUGAGACACGGCCCAGACUCCUACGGGAGGCAGCAGUGGGGGAUAUUGCACAAUGGAGGAAACUCUGAUGCAGCAACGCCGCGUGAGGGAAGAAGGUUUUCGGAUUGUAAACCUCUGUCCUCAGGGACGAUAAUGACGGUACCUGAGGAGGAAGCUCCGGCUAACUACGUGCCAGCAGCCGCGGUAAUACGUAGGGAGCAAGCGUCGUCCGGAUUUACUGGGUGUAAAGGGUGCGUAGGCGGCACUGCAAGUCAGGUGUGAAAACCAUGGGCUUAACUUAUGGAUUGCACUUGAAACUGUGGUGCUUGAGUGAAGUAGAGGCAGGCGGAAUUCCCGGUGUAGCGGUGAAAUGCGUAGAGAUCGGGAGGAACACCAGUGGCGAAGGCGGCCUGCUGGGCUUUAACUGACGCUGAGGCACGAAAGCAUGGGUAGCAAACAGGAUUAGAUACCCUGGUAGUCCAUGCCGUAAACGAUGAUUACUAGGUGUGGGGGGUCUGACCCCUUCCGUGCCGGAGUUAACACAAUAAGUAAUCCACCUGGGAAGUACGACCGCAAGGUUGAAACUCAAAGGAAUUGACGG